AGAGUUUGAUCCUGGCUCAGGAUGAACGCUAGCUACAGGCUUAACACAUGCAAGUCGCGGGGCAGCAUGAAGUCAGCUUGCUGACUUUGAUGGCGACCGGCGCACGGGUGAGUAACGCGUAUCCAACCUGCCUGUUACCACGGCACAGCCCGUCGAAAGGCGGAUUAAUGCCGUAUGUGGUCCUUUGCGGGCAUCUAAUUAGGACUAAAGGUUCGGCGGUAACGGAUGGGGAUGCGUCCGAUUAGCUAGACGGCGGGGUAACGGCCCACCGUGGCUACGAUCGGUAGGGGUUCUGAGAGGAAGGUCCCCCACACUGGAACUGAGACACGGUCCAGACUCCUACGGGAGGCAGCAGUGAGGAAUAUUGGUCAAUGGGCGUAAGCCUGAACCAGCCAAGUAGCGUGAGGGAAGACUGCCCUAUGGGUUGUAAACCUCUUUUGUGCGGGGAUAAAGUGUGGGACGUGUCCCAUAUUGCAGGUACCGCACGAAUAAGGACCGGCUAAUUCCGUGCCAGCAGCCGCGGUAAUACGGAAGGUCCGGGCGUUAUCCGGAUUUAUUGGGUUUAAAGGGAGCGCAGGCCGUCCUUUAAGCGUGCUGUGAAAUGCCGCGGCUCAACCGUGGCACUGCAGCGCGAACUGGAGGACUUGAGUACGCACGAGGUAGGCGGAAUUCGUGGUGUAGCGGUGAAAUGCUUAGAUAUCACGAAGAACUCCGAUUGCGAAGGCAGCUUACCGGAGCGCAACUGACGCUGAGGCUCGAAAGCGCGGGUAUCGAACAGGAUUAGAUACCCUGGUAGUCCGCGCGGUAAACGAUGGAUGCCCGCCGUUGGGAUUUGGAUUUCAGCGGCCAAGCGAAAGCGUUAAGCAUCCCACCUGGGGAGUACGCCGGCAACGGUG
rnacentral:rRNA from 1 species